CCUCACCCACCCUCUGAAUCCCAACACCGAGGCCACCCAGCCGGUGUCUUCUCCUGUCGCCUGGCCUUGGCGCAUGGGGCCUGUGAGCUUGGCCGUGGCGGUCAGUGGCUCUGACUGACCCAGCCUGUCUGGGUGCGGUCGUGCAGCUGAACCUGUGAUCGGGCACAGCGGAGGCCCAGGCCAUGGGUCCCGGGGAGCACACGGGAUGCCACCUCGCCAGUCGCCCUGUCUGGGCGCCUCCCGGUCUCAUGGCUGGCUUUGCCCCGGCCUCCCCACCCCUCUCCUUUCCUGCCCGUGAUUUUCCCACUGCUGCCACCAGGGUCUUGUCGCUGAGGUGGGGACCCCGGGGCGCGAUCCCGGCAUGCCUUCCUGGCCAGGGUUCCUCCUCCAGGCUCAUCUGGAAGGCACAGCUUGGCCAGCUUGCGCAGGGAGGGCAGGCCGCCUCUGCUCUCGGGCCUGGCCUCAGGGACUGACCCCAAAGCCCCCCAGUUGUUCCCAGAGUGACCAGGGCCAAAUCAGCAGCCCCUGGCAAGCACGUGGGCUUCUCUCCUCGGUGCCAGCUUCGGCCUGCCCGUCUGCCAGCAGAGUGGCUUCACUCAGUCGCCAGCGCUGAGGAAAGGAAGGCCUGUGCCAGCCGGCGUUCCCAGCGCAGACUGCCUUGCAAGCUGCUGGCAUGCAACAAAGACCAGUCUCCCGCGGGGACCGGGGUUACUGAGAGCAUGAGCUCUACACACACGUGCAUGGGUCUUGCCUGUGUCUAGGCGUCCCCCACCUGCAGCUGAGCCACAGGGUCCCCCUAAAACAUCACGGGGGGCAGACGGUACGGUCUUACGGGGCCCUUGUCUCUGAGCACCCUUCUCUCUUAGC